GAUGAACGCUGGCGGCGUGCCUAACACAUGCAAGUCGAGCGAUUCUCCUCGGAGAAGAGCGGCGGACGGGUGAGUAACGCGUGGGUAACCUGCCCUGUACACACGGAUAACAUACCGAAAGGUAUGCUAAUACGAGAUAAUAUGCUUUUAUCGCGUGGUAGAAGUAUCAAAGCUCCGGCGGUACAGGAUGGACCCGCGUCUGAUUAGCUAGUUGGUAAGGUAACGGCUUACCAAGGCGACGAUCAGUAGCCGACCUGAGAGGGUGAUCGGCCACAUUGGAACUGAGACACUGUCCAAACUCCUACGGGAGGCAGCAGUGGGGAAUAUUGCACAAUGGGCGAAAGCCUGAUGCAGCAACGCCGCGUGAGCGAUGAAGGCCUUCGGGUCGUAAAGCUCUGUCCUCAAGGAAGAUAAUGACGGUACUUGAGGAGGAAGCCCCGGCUAACUACGUGCCAGCAGCCGCAGUAAAAC
rnacentral:rRNA from 1 species